rnacentral:ribozyme from 1 species
AAUGGAGAUAGCCCUGUAAUGGGAUAGGAUCUAAAGCCUCCUCAAGAUUUCUUCCAACUCCUAUUCCGACACGUCCUCGUCGUGUAGUGUGGUAACAUGGGCUAACCUUUCGAGCGGACGACGGCUCAUGGCUAAGGAGAAAGAA